rnacentral:pre_miRNA from 1 species
CCGCACAUAUAGGUAGAGUAAUCGUUUGUCGGCACAUGGUAAGGAUAGACCAAUGAGAGGCUGCCACGUGGCAGCCUCUUGUUUGUCUAUCCUUACCAUGUGUCGACAAAUGAUUAAUCCAACUGUAUGUCUCAUUGG